rnacentral:rRNA from 1 species
GAUGAACGCUGGCGGCGUGCUUAACACAUGCAAGUCGAACGAUGAAGCCCAGCUUGCUGGGUGGAUUAGUGGCGAACGGGUGAGUAACACGUGAGUAACCUGCCCUUAACUCUGGGAUAAGCCUGGGAAACUGGGUCUAAUACCGGAUAGGAGCGUCCACCGCAUGGUGGGUGUUGGAAAGAUUUAUCGGUUUUGGAUGGACUCGCGGCCUAUCAGCUUGUUGGUGAGGUAAUGGCUCACCAAGGCGACGACGGGUAGCCGGCCUGAGAGGGUGACCGGCCACACUGGGACUGGGACACGGCCCAGACUCCUACGGGAGGCAGCAGUGGGGAAUAUUGCACAAGGGGCGCAAGCCUGAUGCAGCGACGCCGCGUGAGGGAUGACGGCCUUCGGGUUGUAAACCUCUUUCAGUAGGGAAGAAGCGAAAGUGACGGUACCUGCAGAAGAAGCACCGGCUAACUACGUG